rnacentral:rRNA from 1 species
UACGUAGGGGGGCGAGCGUUGUCCGGAUUUAUUGGGCGUAAAGCGCGCGUAGGCGGCUACUUAAGUCGGAUGUGAAAGCCCCUGGCUCAACUGGGGAAGUGCACCCGAAACUGAGUGGCUUGAGUGCGAAAGAGGGUCGCGGAAUUCCCGGUGUAGAGGUGAAAUUCGUAGAUAUUCGCAAGAACACCAGUGGCGAAGGCGGCUUACUGGUCCGGUUCUGACGCUGAGGCGCGAAAGCGUGGGAGCAAACAGG